GAUGAACGCUGGCGGCGUGCCUAAUACAUGCAAGUCGAGCGAACAGACGAGGAGCUUGCUCCUCGGACGUUAGCGGCGGACGGGUGAGUAACACGUGGAUAACCUACCUAUAAGACUGGGAUAACUUCGGGAAACCGGAGCUAAUACCGGAUAAUAUAUUGAACCGCAUGGUUCAAUAGUGAAAGACGGUUUUGCUGUCACUUAUAGAUGGAUCCGCGCCGCAUUAGCUAGUUGGUAAGGUAACGGCUUACCAAGGCAACGAUGCGUAGCCGACCUGAGAGGGUGAUCGGCCACACUGGAACUGAGACACGGUCCAGACUCCUACGGGGGGCAGCAGUAGGGAAUCUUCCGCAAUGGGCGAAAGCUUGACGGAGCAACGCCGCGUGAGUGAUGAAGGUCUUCGGAUCGUAAAACUCUGUUAUUAGGGAAGAACAAAUGUGUAAGUAACUAUGCACGUCUUGACGGUACCUAAUCAGAAAGCCACGGCUAACUACGUG
rnacentral:rRNA from 1 species